AUUGAACGCUGGCGGCAUGCUUUACACAUGCAAGUCGAACGGCAGCGCGGGCUUCGGCCUGGCGGCGAGUGGCGAACGGGUGAGUAAUGCAUCGGAACGUGCCCAGUAGUGGGGGAUAGCCCGGCGAAAGCCGGAUUAAUACCGCAUACGACCUGAGGGUGAAAGCGGGGGACCGAAAGGCCUCGCGCUAUUGGAGCGGCCGAUGUCGGAUUAGGCAGUUGGUGGGGUAAAGGCUUACCAAGGCGACGAUCCGUAGCUGGUCUGAGAGGAGGACCAGCCACACUGGGACUGAGACACGGCCCAGACUCCUACGGGAGGCAGCAGUGGGGAAUUUUGGACAAUGGGGGCAACCCUGAUCCAGCCAUGCCGCGUGCGGGAAGAAGGCCUUCGGGUUGUAAACCGCUUUUGUUCGGGAAGAAAUCCUCUGGGCUAAUACCCCGGGGGGAUGACGGUACCGGAAGAAUAAGCACCGGCUAACUACGUG
rnacentral:rRNA from 1 species